rnacentral:rRNA from 1 species
AACGAACGCUGGCGGCAGGCUUAACACAUGCAAGUCGAACGCCCCGCAAGGGGAGUGGCAGACGGGUGAGUAACGCGUGGGAAUCUACCUAGUCCUACGGAACAACAGAGGGAAACUUCUGCUAAUACCGUAUACGCCCUAUGGGGGAAAGAUUUAUCGGAAUUAGAUGAGCCCGCGUAAGAUUAGCUAGUUGGUGAGGUAAUGGCUCACCAAGGCGACGAUCUUUAGCUGGUCUGAGAGGAUGAUCAGCCACACUGGGACUGAGACACGGCCCAGACUCCUACGGGAGGCAGCAGUGGGGAAUAUUGGACAAUGGGCGCAAGCCUGAUCCAGCCAUGCCGCGUGAGUGAUGAAGGCCUUAGGGUUGUAAAGCUCUUUCAGUAGGGAAGAUAAUGACGGUACCUACAGAAGAAGCCCCGGCUAACUUCGUGCCAGCCGCCGCCGUAAUAC